UACGUAGGGCGCAAGCGUUUGUCCGGAAUUAUUGGGCGUAAAGAGCUCGUAGGCGGCUUGUCACGUCGGGUGUGAAAGCCCGGGGGCUUAACCCCGGGUCUGCAUUCGAUACGGGCAGGCUAGAGUGUGGUAGGGGGAGAUCGGAAUUCCUGGUGUAGCGGUGAAAUGCGCAGAUAUCAGGAGGAACACCGGUGGCGAAGGCGGACUCUGGGCCAUUACUGACGCUGAGGAGCGAAAGCGUGGGGAGCGAACAGG
rnacentral:rRNA from 1 species